CUAGGUGAUGCGAAUAUACAGUGAUGAAUAAAGGAGAUAUGGUCUUUAGACUUUUGAGAGUUUAAGUCAUAGUGGAAGGAGAUAGACAGUAAACAAGUAAGCUAAUAAAAGAGCACCUGAUAGUGAUGAGUGCUGUGAAGAAAAUAAAAUAUUAGUGUGAAAAUAACAGGGGCCGGGCGUGGUGGCUCAGGCCUGUAAUCCCAGCACUUUGGGAGGCCCAGGCGGGCGAAUCACCUGAGGUCAGGAGUUCAAGACAAGCCUGACCAACAUGGAGAAACCCCAUCUCUACUAAAAAUACAAAAUUAGCCGGGGUGGUGGCACAUGCCUGUAAUCCCAGCUACUCAGGAGGCCGAGGCAGGAGAAUCACUUGAACCCGGGAGGUGGAGGUUGCGGUGAGCCAAGAUCGUGCUUUUGCACUCCAGCCUGGACAACAAGAGCAAAACUCCGUUUCAAAAAAAAAGAAAAUAACUGGGAGGGAUACUCAGGAAAUGUAUUGGUUUUCUUAAAACCUGUCUUGUGAUCCUAAACUCUCUUUAGCCUUUCUUAUUCUCAAAAACACCAUCUGUGGCGUGGUCCUCUGCGGAGAAUGGUAGCAGCGUGAGGUGGAGGCACCACAAUCCCUUGUCACCUGGGCCAAAAGCAGCUCAUAGCCCAUUUCUAUUCAGAUCUGUGUACAGGUGUUCAUAAGACCAAGAUGAAUAAGACACUGUGUUCCUGUCAAAGGGUUCAUGUUCCCUUCUGUGUUAGUCCAUUCUUGCACUAAUACUUGAGACUGGAUAAUUUCUAAAGAAAAGAGGUUUAAUUGACCCAUGCUUCUGCAGGCUAUACAGGAAGCAUAGUGGCUUCUGCUUCUGGGGAGACCUCAGGAAGCUUCCAGUUAUGGUGUAAGGCAAAGGGGGAGGGAGGCAUCUCACAUGGCGGGAUUAGGAGCAAGAGGGAGUGAGGGGGGAGAUGCUACACACUUUUAAACAACCAGAUCUUGGGAAAACUCACUAUCACGAGAACAGCACCAAAGGGAUGGUGCUGAACCAUUUAUGAGAAAACCAGCCUCAUGAUCCCACCACCAGCCCCCACCUCCAAUAUGGGGACUACAGUUUGACAGGAGAUUUGGCGGGGACAGAUCCAAACCAUGUCACCUUCAAAGGACUCACCUCCAGCAGGAGGGAGAGAAAGGUCAAUUAGCCAUCGUAGUAUUACUGUAUAGUGAUGAUUGCAGAGCUAGGCAUAGAUGUGGCGCAAGUAACUGUCACCUGUCUUUGGAGGAGAGAUCAGAGGAGGAAAUGGAACCCAAAGAUCUGUCUACCCCCUCAGAGAUGUUGGUAAUUCUGCAUGAAAAACCAGUUUAGUGCUCGCCUCAGCAGCACAUAUACUAAAAUUGGAACGAUACAGAGAAGAUUAGCAUGGCCCCUGCGCAAGGAUGACAUGCAGAUUCGUGAAGCGUUCCAUAUUUUUGUCUCCCUGGACUUCGAGCAGGAGAUGGCCACUACCACAUCCUCCUCCCUGGAGAAGAGCUACAAGCUGCCGGAUGGCCAGGUCAUCACCAUCAGCAACAAGCGGUUCCAGUGUCCGGAGGCGCUGUUCCAGCCUUCCUUCCUGGGUAUGGAAUCUUGCGGCAUCCACGAGACCACGUUCAACUCCAUCAUGAAGUGUGACGUAGACAUCCGCAAAGACCUGUACACCAACAUAGGGCUAUCCAGAGGCACCACCAUGUACCCGGGCAUCACCGACAGGAUGCAGAAGGAGAUUAACGCCCUGGCAUCCAGCACCAUGAAGAUCAAGCUCAUUGUGCCCCCAGAGUGCAAGUACUCUGUGUGGAUCAGCGGCUCCAUCCUGGCCUCACUGUCCACCUUCCAGCAGAUGUGGAUUAGCAAGCAGGAGUAUGACGAGUCAGGCCCCUGUAUCGUCCACCGCAAAUGCUUCUAAAUGGACUGCGAGCCGAUGCGUAGCAUUUGCUGCAUGGGUUAAUUCAGAAGUAUAAAUUGGCCCUGGCAAAUGCAUAUACCUCAUGCUAGCCUCACGAAAAUGGAAUAAGCCUUCGAAAAGAAAUUGUCGUUGAAGCUUGUAUCUAAUAUCAGCACUGGAUUGUAGAACUUGUUGCUGAUUUUGACCUUGUAUUCAAGUUAACUGUUCCCCUUGGUAUUUGUUUAAUACCCUGUACAUAUCUUUGCUUUCAACCCUUAGUACAUGUGGCUUGGUCACUGCGUGGCAAGGUAAGAAUGUGCUUGUGGAAGACAAGUGCGACUUGGUGAGUCUGCAUGGCCAGCAGUCUCCGAUCUUUGCAGGGUAUUAAUAUGUCAUGGCUGAGUGUUCUGGGAUUUCUCUAGAGGCUGACAAGGGCUCCUGAACCAGUUGUUUCUGUCCUGCUGGUCUGUCAGGGUUGGAAAGGCCAAGCCAUAGGACCCAGUUUCCUUUCUUAGCUGAUGUUUUCCUGCCAGAACACUGUGGGCUGUGACUUGCUUUGAGUUGGAAGCAGUUUGCAUUUACACCUGUAAAUGUAUUCAUCCUUUUAAUUUAUGUAAGGUUUUUUUUUGUAUGCAAUUCUCGAUUCUUUAAGGAGAUGAGAACAGAUUUUGGUUUUCUACUGUUAUGUGAGAACAUUAGGCCCCAGCGGCAUGUCAUUGUGUAAGGAAAAAUAAAAGUGCUGCUGUAACC